GCAUUUUGCUCACAAGCUCGUGUACCUCUCCCCUCAUCUUUCCCUCCCUCCCCCAAACCCUAGCUCUGCCUUCCUUUCUCCCUCCUCCCCUGGCUCUCUGCGUCUCUAAUCUUUCAUCUCUCCCCGAUCCUCAGAACCUCCAAAACACCUACACCGCCUAACCCCACCUCGAAAAUCUAGGGUUUAUUCGAACGCUUCACCACGACAUGGAAGACCACCAAAGGGCUUGACACCCCCUUCUCCCUUCUCUCUCGCUCCAAAUCCAAGAGCCAAAAUUCACCCGAGGGGGUUCGAAAUUAGACCAUGUAUAGGGAACGUGGCGGUGGAGGCGUUGGCGGGUCAUCGAAAACAGAGAUUGUUGGUGGGUCGCUGGACCGCAAGCGCAUCAACGAUGCGCUGGAACGCAGGCGCAUCAACGAUGCGCUGGACAAGCACCUAGUGAAUUCCUCGACUUCCACAUCGAGAGCUUUGGCUAACAGUAAAGACAAAGAGAGGCUCUCUGUGCCCUCCACUUCCGCUGGUAAAUCUCAACUCGAUCACCGUGCUGCUGCCGCCGCGGCCGCGUCGCUCGCUGAGAACAAAUGCUCUGAUGAGGAAUCUGAAACAGACAGUGAAGAAUCAGAUGUCAGUGGUUCUGAUGGAGAUGACACAUCUUGGAUUUCAUGGUUCUGCAAUUUGCGAGGAAAUGAAUUUUUUUGUGAAGUGGAUGAUGAAUAUAUUCAAGAUGAUUUUAAUCUCUGCGGUUUGAGCAGCCAAGUUCCAUAUUAUGAUUAUGCACUUGAUCUUAUUUUGGAUGUUGAAUCUUCUCAUGGUGACAUGUUCACUGAAGAGCAGAAUGAGUUGGUUGAAUCAGCAGCGGAGAUGCUAUACGGUCUUAUACAUGUUCGAUACAUACUGACUAGCAAAGGAAUGUCUGCAAUGUUGGAGAAAUACAAGAGCUAUGACUUUGGAAGAUGCCCAAGAGUUUACUGCUGUGGACAACCCUGCCUUCCAGUUGGUCAAUCGGACAUUCCUCGUUCAAGCACUGUAAAAAUAUACUGCCCCAAAUGCGAAGAUAUAUUACCCUCGAUCGAAGUACCAAGGCAAUAUUGAUGGAGCAUAUUUUGGAACCACAUUUCCGCACUUGUUCUUGAUGACAUAUGGGCACCUUAAGCCACAAAAGGCGUCACAGAGUUACGUGCCAAGAGUUUUUGGUUUCAAGCUCCACAAGCCGUAACCACAGUGCAAUGGGCAAAACCUGUGAUGAGAUUUACUAUUAACCAGCUUCAGUUGUUAUCGUGCUUCAUGCCUCCAUUGGUAAAGGGAACGUCUGUGACAAGUGAGGUAAGAUGCAGUAGCUCAGAAAGUACCACAAGUGAUGUACCGUCUAUUAGCAGAGCAAAGUGGCAAACCUUUCUUUGAAUUUUAAUCAUGAGAUUAACGGAGCACUUGUAAGAUUAUUUAAUUUUGUUUACUGAGAUUGAUAUGCUUUGCAUUUGCGGCUCGUGUUUAUCAUUCCUUUUACUGUGAUUAAUCAUGCUCCGGUCCUAUGCUACUUGUACCUGUUUAUAUAUAUAUUUAAUGUGCUACUAUCAUGCUUGAUGGAUGCAAUGCCAAGAAUCGCACUUAGACACGAGU